AUUGAACGCUGGCGGCAGGCCUAACACAUGCAAGUCGAGCGGAUGAAGGGAGCUUGCUCCUGGAUUCAGCGGCGGACGGGUGAGUAAUGCCUAGGAAUCUGCCUGGUAGUGGGGGAUAACGUCCGGAAACGGGCGCUAAUACCGCAUACGUCCUGAGGGAGAAAGUGGGGGAUCUUCGGACCUCACGCUAUCAGAUGAGCCUAGGUCGGAUUAGCUAGUUGGUGGGGUAAAGGCCUACCAAGGCGACGAUCCGUAACUGGUCUGAGAGGAUGAUCAGUCACACUGGAACUGAGACACGGUCCAGACUCCUACGGGAGGCAGCAGUGGGGAAUUUUGGACAAUGGGCGAAAGCCUGAUCCAGCCAUGCCGCGUGUGUGAAGAAGGUCUUCGGUUUGUAAAGCACUUUAAGUUGGGAGGAAGGGCAGUAAGUUAAUACCUUGCUGUUUGGACGUGACCAACAGAAUAAGCACCGGCUAAUUUCGG
rnacentral:rRNA from 1 species